rnacentral:misc_RNA from 1 species
GAUGAAGAACGCAGCGAAAUGCGAUAAGUAAUGUGAAUUGCAGAAUUUAGUGAAUCAUCGAAUCUUUGAACGCACAUUGCGCCCGCCAGCACUCUGGCGGGCAUGCCUGUCCGAGCGUCAUUUCAACCCUCAGGGCCCCUUCGGGGGACCUGGCGUUGGGGAUCGGCCCGCCCCCGUGCGGCGCCGUCCCCGAAAUAUAGUGGCGGUCUCGCUGCAGCCUCCCCUGCGUAGUAGCACACCUCGCACUGGAGAGCGGCGCGGCCACGCCGUGAAACCCCCAACUUCUGAAUGUUGACCUCGGAUCAGGUAGGAAUACCCGCUGAACUUAAGCAUAUCAAUAAGCGGAGGA